rnacentral:rRNA from 1 species
GAUGAACGCUGGCGGCGUGCCUAACACAUGCAAGUCGAACGGAGUCGUUUUGGCAAUCUCUUCGGAGAUGGAAUUCUCGACUUAGUGGCGGACGGGUGAGUAACGCGUGAGCAAUCUGCCUUUAAGAGGGGGAUAACAGUCGGAAACGGCUGCUAAUACCGCAUAAAGCAUUAAAUUCGCAUGUUUUUGAUGCCAAAGGAGCAAUCCGCUUUUAGAUGAGCUCGCGUCUGAUUAGCUAGUUGGCGGGGUAACGGCCCACCAAGGCGACGAUCAGUAGCCGGACUGAGAGGUUGAACGGCCACAUGGGGACUGAGACACGGCCCAGACUCCUACGGGAGGCAGCAGGGGGGAAUAUUGCGCAAUGGGGGAAACACUGACGCAGCAACGCCGCGUGAUUGAAGAAGGCCUUCGGGUUGUAAAGAUCUUUAAUCAGGGACGAAACAAAUGACGGUACCUGAAGAAUAAGCUCCGGCUAACUACGUG